rnacentral:rRNA from 1 species
GUCUACGGCCAUACCACCCUGAACGCGCCCAAUCUCGUCUGAUCUCGGAAGCUAAGCAGGGUCGGGCCUGGUUAUUUUUUUUCUUUUUAAAUACUCCAUUGGAUAUUCUAGGAUUUUUGGAUU